rnacentral:rRNA from 1 species
UACAGAGGGUGCGAACGUUGCUCGGAAUUACUGGGCGUAAAGCGCAUGUAGGCGGAUCCAUAAGUCGGGCGUGAAAUCCCCAGGCUCAACCUGGGAACUGCGCUCGAAACUGUGGGUCUCGAGUGUCGGAGAGGAUGGCGGAAUUCCUGGUGUAGAGGUGAAAUUCGUAGAUAUCAGGAGGAACACCGGGUGGCGAAGGCGGCCAAUCUGGACGACAACUGA